rnacentral:lncRNA from 1 species
AUACAGGGGCUCAGUUAUUCAUUUAAUCGAUUUCCCAAUCGAUUGAAUUAAGCCCAGAGUACAGUUUUCACGAAAAACCCUCAGGAAAUCGAUUGGCUUUAACACAGGGGCUCAGUUAUUUAUUCAAUCGAUUUCCCAAUCGAUUGAUUUAAGCCCACAGUUCAGUUUUCACUAAAACCCUUCAUCCAAAUCGAUUUCUCAAUCGAUUGGCUUAGUGGAAAUUCUUAUUUUGAGUUAGAUGAUCGAUUGCUCAAUUGGUUCAUCAAUGGAUUGGCCAGUUGUUUAUUACUUGAUUGAUUUAAGACUUAUUUUGACUUCAUUUUCAUUUGGCAAGUGUUAUAUGAACUUUUAGCAUAUGGAAAAUCCUUUUAAGGUGCAUGCUUAGUGGAAAAGUUAUUUUGUGCAUUCAAAAACUUAAAUGGUAUGUGUUAACUGUUAAUUUCGGUUGGUGACCCUUUACAACUAUUGUGGAAAUCUGGGCUUUGCCCUCAUAUGAGAGUCAGGACAAUCCUACCGGUUUGUACCCUGUGGAUGGGAAUGUAGACGGGAACGCCUGACUGGGGCGUGGAGAUCACUCAUGGUUUAUAGUUUUUUUAGUAGAAUGAUCAGAUUAGGUUGACAUAGAGGGAACAAAUGUCUUUAUUUUGGAUUGCAUUUAUUUUAAAUUGCAAGAUUGUAUCUUUACUAAUAUUGUC